GAGGGUAUAGCUCAGUGGUAAGAGCACGUGCUCAACAGGCACGAGGUCCUGGGUUCAAUCCCCAGUACCUCCA
rnacentral:tRNA from 1 species